rnacentral:rRNA from 1 species
UACGGAGGGUGCAAGCGUUAUCCGGAUUUAUUGGGUUUAAAGGGUGCGUAGGCGGCAAAAUAAGUCAGUGGUGAAAUCCUGCAGCUUAACUGUAGAACUGCCAUUGAAACUGUUUAGCUUGAGUAUAGUUGAGGUAGGCGGAAUGAGUAGUGUAGCGGUGAAAUGCUUAGAUAUUACUCAGAACACCGAUUGCGAAGGCAGCUUACUAAACUAUAACUGACGCUGAUGCACGAAAGCGUGGGUAGCGAACAGG